CCCCUAGAUGUUCUGGGCCGCACGCGCGCUACACUGAACAGUUCAACAAGUCUUAACCUUGGCCGAUAGGUCUGGGUAAUCUUUGAACGCUGUUCGUGAUUGGGAUAGACCUUUGCAAUUAUGGGUCUUCAACGAGGAAUUCCUAGUAAACGCAAGUCAUCAGCUUGCAUUGAUUACGUCCCUGCCAUUUGUACACACCGCCCGUCGCACCUACCGAUUGAAUGGUCCGGUGAAAUCUCGGGACGGCGGCUUGGUCGCUUGCGUCCGACUGCUGAAACUUGAUUAAACCAUAUCAUUUAGAGGAAGGUGAAGUCGUAACA
rnacentral:rRNA from 1 species